rnacentral:rRNA from 1 species
AAAGCGUGCGCAGGCGGUUAUGUAAGACAGUUGUGAAAUCCCCGGGCUCAACCUGGGAACCGCAUCUGUGACUGCAUAGCUAGAGUACGGUAGAGGGGGAUGGAAUUCCGCGUGUAGCAGUGAAAUGCGUAGAUAUGCGGAGGAACACCGAUGGCGAAGGCAAUCCCCUGGACCUGUACUGACGCUCAUGCACGAAAGCGUGGGGAGCAAACAGGAUUAGAUACCCGGGU